UUUCUCUUGCCGGUAGCAGAGCGAAACACAGCGGUGAGAUAAGGACUGCCUUGUGUCUGGACUGAUUUAUUCCACACGUGCUGCACUCUGCUUCUCACCGCUGUGUUUCGCUCUGCUACCGGCAAGAGAAU
rnacentral:miRNA from 1 species